UGGGGAAUUUUGGACAAUGGGCGAAAGCCUGAUCCAGCAAUGCCGCGUGUGUGAAGAAGGCCUUCGGGUUGUAAAGCACUUUUGUCCGGAAAGAAAUCCUUGGCUCUAAUACAGUCGGGGGAUGACGGUACCGGAAGAAUAAGCACCGGCUAACUACGUGCCAGCAGCCGCGGUAAUACGUAGGGUGCAAGCGUUAAUCGGAAUUACUGGGCGUAAAGCGUGCGCAGGCGGUUUGCUAAGACCGAUGUGAAAUCCCCGGGCUCAACCUGGGAACUGCAUUGGUGACUGGCAGGCUAGAGUAUGGCAGAGGGGGGUAGAAUUCCACGUGUAGCAGUGAAAUGCGUAGAGAUGUGGAGGAAUACCGAUGGCGAAGGCAGCCCCUGGGCCAAAUACUGACGCUCAUGCACGAAAGCGUGGGGAGCAAACAGG
rnacentral:rRNA from 1 species